CGGGGAACUGAAAUAUCUAAGUACCCGGAGGAAAAGAAAUCAACCGAGAUUCCCUCAGUAGCGACGAGCGAACGGGGACUAGCCCAAAAGCGCACAGUGUUUUAGUUGAACAGUCUGGAAAGGCUGGCCAUAGACGGUGAUAGCCCGGUAAGCGAAAGGGCACCGUGCGUGAAAUUGAGUAAGGCGGGGCACGUGAAACCUUGUCUGAACAUGGGGGGACCAU
rnacentral:rRNA from 1 species